AUGCUACUCCCUCCGUUCCAAAUUACUUGUCGCAGGUAUGGAUGUAUCUAGAUGUAUUUUAGUUCUAGAUACAUCCAUUUAUGCGACGAGUAAUUUGGAACGGAGGGAGUACUAU
rnacentral:pre_miRNA from 1 species